GUCGCAUCGGUUAACGUGAAUCCCGAGGGUGAUACUAAUUGCAGGAAUCUGGGGAAGGAGUUUGUAAUUGAGAAAAAAAUAUGUGCGAGUAAAAUCUAUUUUAUUACGACCACCGGCGUGUAUUUAACAAGUUCGCUACCGCCAUUUAAGGAAGAAUUAAAAAUAAUUUCACCUAAUGUUGCAAACGUCUUUACAUUACACAGAAAUCACCUACAGCCGAUACGACAUUCCACGAUUAUUCGUCAAAGAUAUCUUGCCC
rnacentral:misc_RNA from 1 species